rnacentral:rRNA from 1 species
UACGGAGGGUGCGAGCGUUGUCCGGAAUCAUUGGGCGUAAAGGGCGCGUAGGUGGCCCGGUCAGUCUUUGGUGAAAGCGCGGGGCUCAACCCUGCGUCGGCCAGGGAUACUGCCGCGGCUGGAGCACUGUAGAGGCAGGCGGAAUUCCGGGUGUAGCGGUGGAAUGCGUAGAGAUCCGGAAGAACACCGGUGGCGAAGGCGGCCUGCUGGGCAGUUUUGCUGACACUGAGGCGCGACACGUGGGGAGCAAACAGG